AUUGAACGCUGGCGGCAGGCUUUACACAUGCAAGUCGAACGAGUGGCGGACGGGUGAGUAAUAUCUCGGAACGUGCCCGGUAGCGGGGGAUAACUACUCGAAAGUGUGGCUAAUACCGCAUACUAUUGGAUGGGCCGAUAUCGGAUUCGCUAGUUGGUGGGGUAACGGCUCACCAGGGAGACGACCCGUAGCUGGUUUGAGAGGAUGACCAGCCACACUGGGACUGAGACACGGCCCAGACUCCUACGGGAGGCAGCAGUGGGGAAUAGUGGACAAUGGGGGAAAGCCUGAUGCAGCCAUGCCGCGUGUAUGAUGAAGGCCUUCGGGUUGUAAAGUACUUUCGGCGGGGAGGCGUUAUCCGCAGAAGAAGCACCGGCUAACUACGUGCCAGCAGCCGCGGUAAUUC
rnacentral:rRNA from 1 species